rnacentral:rRNA from 1 species
GAUGAACGCUGGCGGCGUGCUUAACACAUGCAAGUCGAACGAAGCACUUUAUUUGAUUUCCUUCGGGACUGAUUAUUUUGUGACUGAGUGGCGGACGGGUGAGUAACGCGUGGGUAACCUGCCUUGUACAGGGGGAUAACAGUUGGAAACGGCUGCUAAUACCGCAUAAGCGCACAGCAUCGCAUGAUGCAGUGUGAAAAACUCCGGUGGUAUAAGAUGGACCCGCGUUGGAUUAGCUAGUUGGUGAGGUAACGGCCCACCAAGGCGACGAUCCAUAGCCGACCUGAGAGGAGGACCGGCCACAUUGGGACUGAGACACGGCCCAAACUCCUACGGGAGGCAGCAGUGGGGAAUAUUGCACAAUGGGCGAAAGCCUGAUGCAGCGACGCCGCGUGAGCGAAGAAGUAUUUCGGUAUGUAAAGCUCUAUCAGCAGGGAAGAUAAUGACGGUACCUGACUAAGAAGCACCGGCUAAAUACGUG